rnacentral:tRNA from 1 species
UAUAGGGUGCCCGAAGUAUAGGGGCCAUCUUGAUAGGAUAGUUAUGCGAACUGCCCCUAUUA